CAAAACAACCAAGUUUUGCAAAGGCCAGCGCCAGAGGCCUUUCGAUGCAAUCCGUUUUGCACUUUGCCAUCGUCUAUUUUCACUUCAGCGGUCUUGUCCUUCUUCAAAGCCCCAGCAACACCCUUUGUAGAGAAGAACCUCUGGAUUGUUCAGAUAGUCUAUGAAAACUGGUGACUACGCUGGGAGGGGCUGGAAUUGAGAAUUGCCAACCACCGGCAGCUUUGUAUGCAGUGAACCACAUGGUCAGGAAAGAGGUCAACGGGAAGUUGAAAUGGCACCUAUUUAUGAUGAAAUGCAUGGCUUGUGAUGGAACCUUGCUUCAGGAGUGAUGGCAGCCUGAAUCUGACCAAUACAGUGGAAGCGGCAAAGAUGAAGGAAGCCAACAAAGGAAAGCCAUACACAAGACCCCUAUCUACGGAGAAAGUGCAGCCAAGAAAAGUUUAAGUCAGAACCAGUGAGAUCUGUCUAACAGAAAGCACCUGUUGGGUUUCUUUGUAAUCCAGUUUGGUGUAAUUUGCAGGGAAACAUUUAGGUGGGUGGCUGAAAAUGCCCUGGGCUAUGCUGCUUACCUGGUGGCAGCUAUGAAGAGGGACCCCACAGGAGGAAGCAAAGACUCCCUGAAACUACCCUUGUUGUGGCCAAGUUCUUGGAAGUAUAUUGAGCUCUUUCCUUUAGGCAAAAUUGCCGUUGUCAUGAAGGAAGAGCAAUAUACUGGAAAAGCUCCCCAGCAUACAGCUUACUCCCCCAACCCAGCACGGUACCACCAUCCAUACUUCCACUGCCUCUUUCCACUCCCUCUUGUUUAGGAAGUUCCCUAACCAGAAAAACCUGACUAAGACUGUACAAAGGCUGGUUUUCCCUCUCAAAGUCGCACCUUCUUUGGCCCAGGCAAGUGCACGGCCCUCAGCCAACCUCAACCACCCAACUGUGACAACUGAGAUAGAUGACAGCACACUGCUGGCAGAGACAGGCACGCUGGCUAGUGACACCUUCCUUCAGGCGUAUCUUUUGAAUUGACUUGCAAGGUGCAGUGAGGAUCUGGAUGUGGCAGCAACAAUUUAUGAGCAGCUGCCACAUUCCUACAAUCAUCUUCUGCCUCAUGCUGUCAGUACUCUUGCAGAGGAGAUUAUGGGCAUGAAAAUCAUCCCUUAUGUUGGGCCAAGAAAGUACACUGGUGAACUUCUUGGAGUGGAUUAUCUUUGAUAUGGUAGUACGUCCUUUUAGCAAUGGAGACAUUAUUAUAGAAGGAAGAGAGGAGUGACUGAUAUACAUUAAG